GGGUUUUACCGGAUCUAUUGGGUCGUUCGUACGGUACGUCGUCGUUUGUCUCGCUGGCGCGAUGUUUCACUCCUUGUUCCGCCGCUAUGCCCUCCCUCCUUCGACCCAACUCCGUCGCAUCUUCUUCUCCACCGGCACUUCCAUCUCGUCCUCAAGCCACGCCCCUUCUCCGAUCCACACUUCUUGGUCGAGUACCUCGUGGAUACAUGCGCGGUUCUCCGCCACCGAUGCUUCCCAGGUCUCGAAGUCGCUCCCCCUCUCUCAGUCCACCGAGAGGGCUGAUGCCGUUCUUGGAUUCUUCAUAUCUCAGGGCUUGAUGGCGCUAAUCUCAGAAAGCUAAUAACUUGGAGACCAAGAUUGCUCGGCUAUGAUAUGGCGAUGAACCUCGCUCCGAAGUUCAAUUUUUUGCGCGACAUGGGGUUCUCUGAGUCUGACGCCAUCAAUAGUGUUAUGCUUCACCCCAUCAUUCUUUCUCUCAAUGCCCAGAAAACGCUUCUCCCCAGAUUGAAGGUUUGGCAAAGUCUUUUUGGAUCCAAGGAGAUCUUCCUCAAGAAUUUCCGAAGGUGUAACAGGUUUUAACAGGUUUAUGAGCAACAACAUCGAGUAUGAAUGUGGUAAUCCUGAAAAGAGGAUUUCUCUUGCCAUUAAAAGACAUCCGAGCUUCAUCGUGAUGAACCCAGAUGUCCUCCCGACUCUGGUAGAUAGAACUGACGGGCUUAGAGUUCCUUGAGGAUCUUGAAUGUUCCUCUGGAUCCUUUUUGUGCUGAGCAGGGAAAAUUUUUAGGCCCUAGUCAAGCUCAUGAACAAUUUUGGCUGGUCGAAUUUAGAUUUCCUUACUGCGCUCAAGAAAUGUCCACACUUUUUUAAGCCUUUCCAUAGUUAUUGCAGAGAAAGAUGGAAUUUUUAAUUAAUGAUAUUGAAAUUUUACCGUCAGACAUUGCUUACUGCCCGAUGCCUUUAAUAUUAAGUUUGGAAGAGAGAUUAAUUCCUCAAUUUAGUGUGAUGGAGAUAUUGAAAUCUGAAGGGUUAGGGAAGUUAACAAACAAGCUACAUGAAUUUUUCUCUUCAUCCGGUCCAAAUUUUGAAGCAGUAUGUGCUCCCUUGCGAAGAUAAAUUACCCAAACUGCAUGAAGUCUUGUGAGUUGUAGCUGAGUUCAAAGGGAAUUAUCCAAACUGCUAAUGAAUGCAAGAUUUACAUAGGUUUGAUUUUAAGACGGCAUAAGCAAUGAUAUUGAACCAAUCUUGUCGUAGUUUUAUAUGGUUUACUUGCAGUUUUCAUAUUCUAUACUAUGAAUGUAACUGUUAUUGUAGGCAUGAGGAUGCUAGGUAUUCUGAGUUCCAUUUUGCAAUCUGAUUGAGUUGAAAUGGAUUUCUUGUAGGACCUUAUCAAUUGAACUCCUUCCAAGUAGAAGAUAUUUGUCUUUAAGAAUCAUCAAAGUCGAUUUUUGUCCCCUUUGACAAGUAGAAUUGGAUUUAAGCCUGAAAACAAUACCCAUCUGCCAAGAUUAUAGAGAAACCAUUAUUAAUUUUCAUAUUCUAUAUCAUACAUGCCAUUGCUACUGUAAACAUGAGAAUGUUAGUCUUUCUGAGUUCCAUUUUGCAACUUGAUUGAGUUAAAAAGGAUUUGUUGAAUUCCUAAUAAGAAGAUAUUUGUCUAUUAGAAUUAUGAAGGCGAUUUUCCCCACUGUUUUCAAGCAAAGUCAGAUGUAUGCUGGGCUACCGAGAAGUCGCUCAUCCGUUUUCAGCCCACCGAGAAGUCCAACGCCAUUCUUGGAUUUUUUUUAGAUCUCAGGUCUUUGAUGGAGCUAAUCUGAGAAGGAUAAUAGCUUGGAAACCAGGAUUGCUCGGCUGUGAUGUGGAGAUGAACCUCGCUCCAAGGUUUAAAUUUUUGCACGACAUGGGGUUCUCUGAGUCCGAUGCUGUCCAUGUCGUUAUGCUGCACCUUAUCUUUGUUUCCUACAACAUCCGCAACACACUUCUCCCCUGAUUGAAGGUUUGGGAAAGUCUUUUUGGAUCCAGAGAGAUCCUCCUCAAGAAUCUCCAGAGGUAUAACAGGUUUAUGAACACAAACAUUGAGAAUGUGGUAUACCCUGACUUGAACUUCUUACGGGAUGAAUGUGGUAUUCCUGAACAUCGAGUUUCUCUUGUCCUUAAAAGGCGCCCCAGCUUCAUCGUGCAUAACCUAGAUGCCCUCCGGGCUCUGGCAGAUAGAACUGGCGAGCUUGGAAUUCCCCGGAAAUCUAAGAUGUUCCUCUGGGUCCUUGAUGUGCUGCACGCGACCAGCAAGGAUAAAUUUGAGGCCCAGGUCAAGCUGUGCUGAUGCACAGCUUUGGUUUGAUUGGUCGAACUCAGAUUUCACAGCUGCAAUAAAGAAACGUCCAGCCUUUUUAUGGCAUUCCACAGAGGCAUUGCAGAGGAAGAUGGAAUUUUUUAUCAAGAAUGUUGAAAUUAAACCUUCUGAGAUUGCUAACCACCCAAUCGUUUUAGCAUUUAGUUUGGAAAAGAGGUUGAUUCCUCGAUUUCAAUUGAUGAAGAUAUUGAAAUCUGAAGGGUUAUGGACUUCAAAAAUCAAGCUACAUAGAUUUUUCACAUCACUGGUCCAAAUUUUUUUACAGAGCUUUGUUCUCCCUUACAAAGAUAAACACCCUAAACUUCUUGAAGCCUUGUGAGUUGUAGCUGAGUUAAAGUUUUCAUGCUCCAGUGAAGACGGCCACUGACACAAAGGGAUUCUUGGUCAGGUCUUAUAAAUGGAUGGCACCUGGGAACUGGGCACUAUGGUGACACAAUGUUGGCUUGCCAUUUUUUUUUUUCUUUUCUU